UCUGGAAUUUCUAUACAGCAGCAGUGUGUUAGUUCGUCAUUUAUCACUUGUUUAUUACAGUUUAGUUGUAUUUAUUACAAGGAUAGUUAUAGCUAGUGUAUUGAUUUAUAUUUAAAGUAUAUUGAGUUUUUUUCGUCGCUGAAAAUAUUACCAGUUAACAUGGAAGCCUUGACAAUGGCAUUUGCCUCUAUUCACAUCACCAUGCCAGCUCAUGUCUGGAAUUUUGAAGCGCCGGUGGAGGCCAUGGAGGUGGAUGUCCCCGUCCCCUCCCGAAAGAGAAGGAGGGAGGAGGGGACGUGGGACAUCCGAAAGGUUGCCACCAACAGGACGUUCAUCCUCCCUGCCAAGAGGCAAAAGAAGAGGGCGGUUUAGAUCUCACAACAAGAGGAGAGGAGGAGAGACAAAGGAGACUGCAGGACCUGGACAAAAUCUACCUCACAUUACGGGAGAAGGCCAUCAGAAGAGCCCCCCUUCCACCUGUCUCACUUACAAAUAGGGCCCAGAACAUCGCCCACCCCAACCCACCCCCCUACACACACACACACAAACACGCACACACACACACACGCACACACGCGCAAAUGCACUCACUUUUUUAAUAA